rnacentral:rRNA from 1 species
GGGACGAUAAGACCCUAUAAAGUUUGUACACAGAAUUAAUUGAAAAUAAUUUAGGGUAAUAAAAUUUAUUAUUAAUGAGGUGUUUGGUUGGGGCGACUAGGAUAUAAGUUAUAUAACUGUUUUUGUUUAUGUCAAAGAUAUUUGUUUAUAUGAUCCCUUUUUAGGAUUAAAGAGUAAAUUACUUUAGGGAUAACAGCGUUAUUCUUUUUGAGAGUUCUUAUCGACAAAAGAGUUUGCGACCUCGAUGUUG